UCACACUAUAAACGGCUCACGGGCGAUAUCAGAUGUAAGCUUCUGAAACUACACACCGCACGUACAGACGAACAUCGCGCGCCGAGAAGCGCGGCCUGCGCGCGGCGACGCGGUAGCAGAAGACGCGCACCGCCAACGAGGCCAAUGGCGAAGCUCCAAUUGGCCACGUGACGGGCGUGGCCAAUCGGAGGCCUCGAAACGGCCUUGAAACAUUUGCUUUUUGUGCGCUUGCUUCUGAAUGGAGAAGGUGGCUGGCGCGGCAAAUUUAAAGACGGAGAAAUGCGCUUUCCAACAAGGGCAA
rnacentral:lncRNA from 1 species